AUAAUACCUACAAUAACAAGUCCUUUAUCUUAAAGUUCUUAUGAAGUAAAGGCUCAUCCUUACAAUCACCAACUUUUUCAAACUCCACACACACACCCUCAAAGGCUGCAAAAAGACCUAUGGUGAUCAUAUAUCAUAUUACAGAGUCAUUUAAUCUGAAAUCAUGUAACAAAUUCAGCUUAAAGAUCAUCAUUCUUAGAAUUAACACCAAGAAGUUUAGCUAGAUCCCCGUUUUCAUACGCCUCGAUGGUAUCAUCUGAUCCUCCGAUGUGUUUACCGUUGAUGAAAACUUGUGGCACGGUGCGUCUGCCAACGAUUUCACUAAUGGCAUCCUGGAUGUUCCAUCCAUCAUCUCUCUCAUCAAGCUCAACGACAUGAGGUUUUUGGUUCAAUUCUCUGAAUACAGCCUUUGCUUUCUUACAGUAUGGGCAGUAAGAUUUGGAGAAGAUAACAAUGGGGUGAGAAGAAAUCGUCUUUUUAACGAAAGCAGAUGAAUCACCUCCUCCAGCAACUGUUGAUGCGUACAACAACACAGUUACAGAUACUAUAAUUAACAAAAUGGGUAUAGAGGAUAACGAUGUAGAAUUGGAAAAUGCAGC
rnacentral:misc_RNA from 1 species